rnacentral:tRNA from 1 species
UGGCUCAGUGGUUAAGAGCACUGGCUGUUCCAGAGGUCCUGAGUUCAAUUCUCAG